rnacentral:rRNA from 1 species
AGCAGCCGCGGUAAUUCCAGCUCCAAUAGCGUAUAUUAAAGUUGUUGCAGUUAAAAAGCUCGUAGUUGAAUUUCGGGACUAGUACGCUGGUCGUGCCUUCGGUAUGUACUGGUGUUACUGGUUCCUACCUUCUGACGAACCGUCAUGUCAUUAAUUUGGUGUGGCGGGGAAUCAGGACUGUUACUUUGAAAAAAUUAGAGUGUUUAAAGCAGGCUCGCGCUUGAAUACAUUAGCAUGGAAUAAUGAAAUAGGACGUUCGAUCCUAUUUUGUUGGUUUCUAGGAUUGACGUAAUGAUUAAUAGGGAUAGUUGGGGGCAUUAGUAUUCAAUUGUCAGAGGUGAAAUUCUUGGAUUUAUUGAAGACUAACUACUGCGAAAGCAUUUGCCAAGGAUGUUUUCAUUAAUCAAGAACGAAAGUUAGGGGAUCGAAGACGAUCAGAUACCGUCGUAG